rnacentral:rRNA from 1 species
GUAAACGAUGAUGACUAGGUGUUGGGGAGACUCAGUGCCGCAGUUAACACAUUAAGUCAUCCGCCUGGGGAGUACGACCGCAAGGUUGAAACUCAAAGGAAUUGACGGGGACCCGCACAAGCAGCGGAGCAUGUGGUUUAAUUCGAAGCAACGCGAAGAACCUUACCAGGCCUUGACAUCCUCUGACAAUCCUAGAGAUAGGACGUUUCCUUCGGGAACAGAGAGACAGGUGGUGCAUGGUUGUCGUCAGCUCGUGUCGUGAGAUGUUGGGUUAAGUCCCGCAACGAGCGCAACCCUUGCCUUUAGUUGCCAGCAUUGAGUUGGGCACUCUAAAGGGACUGCCGUAGACAAUACGGAGGAAGGUGGGGACGACGUCAAAUCAUCAUGCCCCUUAUGGCCUGGGCUACACACGUGCUACAAUGGGUUGGGACAAAGGGAAGCGAAGCCGCGAGGUGAAGCCAAUCCCAUAAAACAACCCCCAGUUCGGAU